UCGAGAAUCUUCGGCAAUGGACGCAAGUCUGACCGAGCGAUGCCGCGUGCGGGAUGAAGGCCCUCGGGUUGUAAACCGCUGUCAGUUGGGAGGAAGUCUUUGGGGGUUCUCCCUCAGAGUUGACCGAUCUUCAGAGGAAGGACGGGCUAAGUUCGUGCCAGCAGCCGCGGUAACACGAACCGUCCAAACGUUAUUCGGUAUCACUGGGCUUAAAGCGUGCGUAGGCGGCUUGGAAGGUGAGAUGUGAAAGCCCACGGCUCAACCGUGGAAUUGCGUUUCAAACCACCAAGCUUGAGGAAGAUAGGGGUGAUGGGAACUGAUGGUGGAGCGGUGAAAUGCGUUGAUAUCAUCAGGAACACCGGUGGCGAAAGCGCAUCACUGGAUCUUUUCUGACGCUGAGGCACGAAAGCUAGGGUAGCGAACGGGAUUAGAUACCCCCGUAGUCC
rnacentral:rRNA from 1 species